UUCCCUCUUGGGAAGAAUGUGGAGGAAAAGAAUAGUACACAGAUUAUUGACCUCAUUGAGCAGAAACUUUUUGUUUCAGGCAAAUAAGGAGUUUUAUCCUAUUGUUCAAACAUGUGUAAAAGAGAAGUCAAGAAAUUCCGCAGAAAAUCCUUUUAGGCAUAGGCUGACCUUUGACCACUGAACUGCCUUCCAUUGUUCUCUAGGAAAAGGAGAAAUAGAAUUUGGAGAGACAGUUCUGGUUACAUCAUAAGAGCUUUCUUUUUCCUGGUGUUUGUUUUCUUUGGCUGGUAGUGCACAGCUUCUUGUGGAAAAUAAAUCCCUUGGUAGUGUUUGUGUUUCUUGUAUGUGUGUGGGACUAUUUGGCUCAAAGCAAGUUCAAGCCAAAUCAAGAGUUCCAGUGUGUGCUGAACCUAAGCAGCCUUUACCUUGAACAUAAAGAACAUGGUCCAUCGGUUCUCCUGGCCUUCCCAGCGUUUCACCAGUGAUGCAUGCCGAAAUCCAUCACACAGGAAUGCGUCACUUCAUUUGACAUGGAUCCUUGCCCAGAAACUUGGAUUGUGUUUUUGUCACUUCCAUCUCCAUUCUAAUGGGACAAGAACAACAGAAGACAGAUCACCUGCAUGAUAUUUCGCUUAACCUUUGGGAAGAUGAAGAGAGUGUUGAUGUGGUAAGAAUGUGCACAUGAAGAUUUACCAAUAUGAGUUUUCAGUAUAAUAAUUAAAGCAUUUGUUUAGAUGGAAAGUUAGAUAACUCACAGACUCUGAGGAGUUAUUAUACCACACAACUAUUGUAAAAUUUAAAAAGGUAGCUGAAUCAGUAUUGGCUUUGCUCUUAUUUUCUCCUCUCUCUAUCUAUCUAUAUAUAUGGCAACUUUAAAACAUAGUUUCUAUAUUCUAACGUUAAAACCAAUAUGAACCUGGUACAUACAACCAGGAAAAAUCAUGAAAGACUUUGUGAAAGAGGCAAAAAUGAUUAGUGGAUGUCCUAACUUACGUCUCCAUCAAUUCACAGCAUUGCACAUUAUUAUCUUCCACAUGCGAAUGAAUUCUUUCUAGGGAAGGGGCUAUUGAUUUCCCUUCCUUCUUAUGAAGAAAAAAAAGCCAAUUUUACCUCUAUUUAGAAGUUAAUUUUGGCAUUCCUGAA
rnacentral:lncRNA from 12 species